rnacentral:misc_RNA from 1 species
GGAGCCCGCGACCCGCGAAUGCCGGGUCGGGGUGCUCGAUUGGCGGAGACACUGGCGAGCUUUCACCUGGCAACGGCCGGGAUCUCUAGUACGGCCACUUCGGUGGUGGGGAACGGGUGACCGGUGCGGCUGGGAGGAAGCGAUUAGCACCCUGUUGGGUCCUGAAAGAACAACCGUGGGUUGUCUUUCAGAGCCGAAGCUCGAGGUGUGAAGCCUUGAGGUUGGUGCCAGGCAUGGCCUGGUGUGGCAUACCGCCGGCGGUGGUCGGGUUUGGUGUCGCACGGAUCGGGUUGUGGGUUGGU